UUGGGAAGAUCCCCUGGAGAAGGGAAAGGCUACCCACUCCAGUAUUAUGGCCUGGAGAAUUCCAGAGACUGUAUAGUCCAUGGGGUUGCAAAGAUUUGGACACAGCUGAGCAACUUUCACUUUCAUUUUUCAUGAAUCAUACAAUGAGGAAGUAAGUUAAGUCAGUGGCUUCUCCUUUAGAUGAUACGUGUUUUUAGUAUAAAGAGACUGCCAGCUCCAUUCAUAACCUCAAACUUGUAUCAGCCAUAGUUUGAGAUGAAAGAAAAGGCCUCAGAUGGGUUUCUGUACUACAGCCGUCACAGUGGGUUUAGUGAAAAAUCUCAAGAUAAGAAAACUAUAGCUUCGCAAGAUUAACUGUCCUUACAGGAUGGAUUGUGUCCUCCCCCCAAAAUAUGGUGAAGUCUUAACCCACAAUACCUGUGCAUCUGACCUUAUUUGGAAUUAGGGUCUUUGGAGAUGUAGCCAAGUUCAGAUGAGGUCGUUAAGGUGGGCCCUAAUCCAAGAUCACACCAGUCAAUCCUAAAAGAAAUCAACCUUGAAUACUCAUUGAAAGGACUGAUGCUGAAGCUCCAAUACUUUGGCCACCUGAUGUGAAGAGCCAACUUAUUAGAAAAGAUCCUAAUGCUGGGAAAGACUGAAGGUAGGAGAAAGGGGUGACAAGGGAUGAGAUGGUUGGAUGGCAUCACCAACUCAAUGGACAUGAGUUGAGCAAACUCCAGGAGAUGGUGAAGGACAGGGAGGCCUGGCAUGCUGCAGUCAACGGGGUCACAGUCGGACAUGACUUAGCGACUGAACAACAACAAAUUCGAACACAGAGACAGACAUGCACAGAAAGGAGACAAUGUGGAGACACAGAGGGAGAAGAUGGCCCUGUGACAAUGCAGGCAGAGACUGGACUGGUACCCCUACAAGUCAAGAAAUACCAGGGGUUACAAAUACCAGGAGCUAGGAGAGACAAGAAGGAAUCUCCUCCCAGAUCCUUCUGAGGGAGCCUGGCCUUGCUGACACCUUGACUUUGGACUUCAAGCCUCCAGACC
ensembl:lncRNA